AGCUCCCAUGGCGCCUGUUUAUCAAAAACAUGGUUUUUUGAAUUAAUAAUAAAUCUGGUCUGCUCACUGCUAUUAAGUAAAUAGCCGCAGUAUAUUGACUGUGCUAAGGUAGCAUAAUCAUUUGCCUUUUAAAUGGAGGCUAGUAUGAAUGACUUGACGGGAUGGAGUCUGUCUCCAAAGAAUAGUUUGAAUUUGAUUAAUUGGUAAAAAGGCCAUUAUAUUUCUGAGGGACGAUAAGACCCUAUUAAGCUUGAUUUUUGAAUUUUGCUGGGGCGGUAGUUUAAGAUUAAAAUCUUAAUAGAUGUAGAUGAUAUUUUGAAGACCCAAUAUUAUUGAUGGAUAGAAGAAGUUACUAUAGGGAUAACAGCUUUAUUUUUUUAUUAAGCUCUUAUUAUAAAAAAAGUUUGUGACCUCGAUGUUUAAUUAAAGGUUCUUUUUGGUGAAGCCACUAAAAGAGAAAGUCUGUUCGACUUUUAACUCUUUACGUGAUCUGAGUUCAGACCGGCCAUGGGAAGCUC
rnacentral:rRNA from 1 species